CCGGGAUCGGCGGAGGAGGAAAAGGCGGUGUGGCUGACAGGGGAGUGUGAUGGCGGCGGCGCCCUAUGGACGCGUGGGUGGAGUGCCCCCACCCCCACCCCGGGUGGAGAGAAACUGCAUUAAGUAGAAGGAAGGUACUGUCCAUAUAAGAAAUGUUCAAACCUGUAGAAAAUUUUUAUGAGUUUAUUUGAGCCAAACUGGUAACAAAAAUAUCAAGGAAUUGAGAAAAUGUUCCGGGAAAUGGCAGUUCUGCCACUUAAUUUAAACCUCAGAAUCAAAAGAGAAGCUGAGAAGCAGAUCAGGGGGCUACAUGAAAUCCAUUGGUGACAGGUUGGGGAGGUGGGAGAAGGCAAAGCCUCCCUACAUUGGCCCAGAAAAGCAACAAAAUCAGACAAGUGAAACAGUGGCUGCCUCAAGACCAGCUGCAUCGACUAAUGACCCCUGCUGGUGCCGACCAAUCAGUGGAGACCACAGCCCUGAAAAAGCACCCUGGAAAACUGACGAACAUUCUAUUGAGACCUACCCUAAGAUUUCCACGUGCAAAAGAGAGGUAACGGCAGGGGAGCAGCCCAUGCUACUCCCUUUCCCUCUUCUUCCCUCUACGGUCCACUUGCAACCAGGGGAGCAAUAAGCAGUGACAUGCUAAUCCCCUGAACCUAUCUCAACGGUCCCCUUUUCUCUGACUUCUCAGGGAGCCUAAGCAGCCCAGCCUAGGCUCUCCUGUUACUUCUUCUAUAUCCUUUCUUGUUUUACUGUCCUAAGUAUGUUUUUGCUGUGGCCAAUAAAUUCUUAUUUACCUUGCUAUACUUUGUCUCUUGAUUGAAAUCUUUCCUUCAAGAAGACAAAAACCAAGACCUCAUCAUCUUGCCGAGAUCAAGUGGUCAGUGGCCAGACCGUAUGCAACAAAGACCUCUGACUGAAACUUUCACAGUAACCAACCUGGAAAGCCAAACCACAACCUCUGUAGUAAUGGGCCCAGAACGAUCAGGAUGGUCAGGACUUCAUGGUUAAUGUCUGCCGGCCUCUCCCCAAUCCCAGCAACUCCCCUUCCUCUCUUCCAACUCAGGACCAACCAGAGAAAGCCAAACAUGCUCCCCAACCAACCACAGAAAUGCCCCUCUUCUAGUCUCAGGCCCUUCAGUGUCGUAGGCCAGUGGUCGGCAGACUGAGGCUCGCAAGCCACAUGCGGCUCUUUGGCCCCUUGUGUGUGGCUCUUCCACAAAAUAUCACGUGCAGGCGUGCAUGUACAGUGUGAUUGAAACUUCAUGGCCG